CCUACGGGUGGCAGCAGUGGGGAAUAUUGCACAAUGGGGGAAACCCUGAUGCAGCGACGCCGCGUGCGUGAAGACGUAUUUCGGUAUGUUAAGCUCUAUCAGCAGGGAAGAAAAUGACGGUACCUGAUUAAGAAGCCCCGGAUAACUACGUGCCAGCAGCCGCGGUAAUCCGUAGGGGGCAAGCGUUAUCCGGAUUUACUGGGUUUAAAGGGUGCGUAGGCGGGCUGUUAAGUCAGCGGUCAAAUGUCGGGGCUCAACCCCGGCCUGCCGUUGAAACUGGCGGCCUCGAGUGGGCGAGAAGUAUGCGGAAUGCGUGGUGUAGCGGUGAAAUGCAUAGAGAUCACGCAGAACUCCGAUUGCGAAGGCAGCAUACCGGCGCCCUACUGACGCUGAGGCACGAAAGCGUGGGUAUCGAACAGGAUUAGAUACCCCUGUAGUC
rnacentral:rRNA from 1 species